rnacentral:rRNA from 1 species
UACGGAGGGUGCAAGCGUUAAUCGGAAUUACUGGGCGUAGAGCGUGCGUAGGCGGUUCGUUAAGUCUGUUGUGAAAGCCCCGGGCUCAACCUGGGAAUGGCAAUGGAUACUGGCGAGCUAGAGUGUGUCAGAGGAUGGUGGAAUUCCCGGUGUAGCGGUGAAAUGCGUAGAGAUCGGGAGGAACAUCAGUGGCGAAGGCGGCCAUCGUGGGACAACACUGACGCUGAGGCACGAAAGCGUGGGGAGCAA